rfam:Gossypium raimondii Chr04_contig_564, whole genome shotgun sequence.
AUUCUGUGAUGAGGGCAUUUUCAUAGAAAUUCUUUAAAUAUUUCACACGCUUCAUACAAUGACUUGUCAUUCAUCUGUUGGAAGGUAGUGAUCUCAUUCUGCAACU